UUUGACAUACGAAUAAUGAGGCUAAGCUCUUGCGGAAGGACAUCUUUUAUAUGGAAAAGCCUAGGUGGGCUAGGAUUAUAAAGUGGUCAAACGGAGAGAACUAGGGCAUUAUAGAAGAUAUGCGUAAUGGAAUAAGGGUUGUAAAGUGGGAUUGGCAACUGACGGAGGUGGCAGAAAUUGUACCCGAGUGCUUGAAUUUACUUUCAGUGUAAUUUGGUCUUCGACAGCAACCGCAGAGGCCCUUCUCUUCUCCUGCUUCUCGCUAGGGUGGGUUUAGAAAAGAGAGAGAGAGAAGAGGGGAG
rnacentral:lncRNA from 1 species